rnacentral:rRNA from 1 species
UACGGAGGGUGCAAGCGUUAUCCGGAUUUAUUGGGUUUAAAGGGUGCGUAGGCGGGCCUGUAAGUCAGUGGUGAAAUCUUCCCGCUUAACGGGAAAACUGCCAUUGAUACUAUAGGUCUUGAAUUCAGUUGAGGUGGGCGGAAUGUGUCGUGUAGCGGUGAAAUGCUUAGAUAUGACACAGAACACCGAUUGCGAAGGCAGCUCGCUAAACUGACAUUGACGCUGAGGCACGAAAGCGUGGGGAUCAAACAGG